UACGUAGGGUGCAAGCGUUGUCCGGAAUUAUUGGGCGUAAAGAGCUCGUAGGCGGUUUGUUGCGUCGGCUGUGAAAUCCCGAGGCUCAACCUCGGGUCUGCAGUCGAUACGAGCAAACUAGAGUGUUGCAGGGGAGACUGGAAUUCCUGGUGUAGCGGUGAAAUGCGCAGAUAUCAGGAGGAACACCGGGGGCGAAGGCGGUUCUCUGGGACGGGACUGACGCUGAGACGCGAAAGCGUGGGGAGCGAACAGG
rnacentral:rRNA from 1 species